rnacentral:rRNA from 1 species
GAUGAACGCUGGCGGUAUGCUUAACACAUGCAAGUCGAACGGUCACUUCGGUGAUAGUGGCGGACGGGUGAGUAACGCGUGAGAAUCUGUCUUCAGGUCGGGGACAACAGUUAGAAAUGACUGCUAAUACCGGAUGUGCCUUUGGGUGAAAGAUUUAUUGCCUGAAAAAGAGCUCGCGUCAGAUUAGCUAGUAGGUGGUGUAAGAGACUACCUAGGCUCCGAUCUGUAGCUGGUCUGAGAGGACGAUCAGCCACACUGGAACUGAGACACGGUCCAGACUCCUACGGGAGGCAGCAGUGGGGAAUUUUCCGCAAUGGGCGAAAGCCUGACGGAGCAAUACCGCGUGAGGGACGAAGGCUUUUGGGUCGUAAACCUCUUUUCUCAAGGAAGAUGUUGACGGUACUUGAGGAAUAAGCAUCGGCUAACUCUGUG